UCAUGAAAAAAAGAACCGACUCAAAAAAAUUCAUGAAUCAUCGCAAGUUUGUGAUUCUAAAUAAACUACAGGACAAAUGGGACGCACUGCUUGAUUCCUGAAAUAUUAUGAAGAGAAUGUUUAACAGCAUAAUUCCUUGAGACUCACCCGUCCAAUUUCAUUAAAUGGAAAAGAGCAGUCUGGACAUGCACCGCCUCGGAAUAACAUGAUGAAUGGUUACCUGUCCAUUAGUGCUGUUGUACUAUGUCUGCGGCUUUGUCUGCGCCGGUACAGAGGAGGUUCUGCACGCUGAAGGCCAAGCCUGGGACGGACUUCAUUACUAGAAACAGGACUAACAGAUGGUUCAAU